AUGACAUUGGCAGAUUAAAGCUCUCUGGUGGGGAAGGGCUUAAAGGCUGAGUCAAAAGCCAAGAAGUCUCUUUAUUUACGCCUACCUCCCAGCCCCUGGCAAUCUGACUAAUAACAAACUGAGCUAACAAGAAAGACUAGAAAGAACAGAGAGAACACAGGAGCAGCUUGCAUCUAAAAAUCUGACAAACCAAGUGAUCAAGUCAAGCUCUGCUGAGCAUCUUGUUUGUUUACUGCAUCCAAAUGCUUGCAAACAGUUAACUAUAUGCAGAAAAGUCAGCCUAGCUGUGAAGUAUGCUGUGAAUUUUAAUUGAGGAAAAAGGACAACUGCUUACAGGAUGGUCUGACGUGCACGGCUGCCUGGAAGAUUUUUUCAAUCGAACGCUUUGUACUUUGUCUUCUGAACAAGGAUUUUAACUUUAUGGAGCUGUAGUAUUACUGGAGCUUGCAGCAAAGGGAAACUCGGAAGAAAGUGUGCAUUUUUCAGAGGGAAAAAUUGCGUUGCAUGGAAACAGCUGCUCCAACUGUUCAUUACUGAGUGUACUGGGGAGUGCUGCUUCUGUACAGAAUCUGCUGGACAAGAUGAAGCUUUGGAUUUUUGUUCUAUGCUCAAUUGUGGUCGCAUCUGAUCCUUUCCAGUCACAGCCUUCUUUUUCUUCAGCCAGAGGAUCUUGUCAGAGUCUGUGUUCCUGUGAAGAAAAGGAUGACACCAUGAUUAUCAACUGUGACAAAAGAGACAUCAAGAUGAUAUCAGAAAUAAACGUCCCACCAUCACGGCCUUUCCAUCUUAAUCUGUUAAACAAUGGUCUGAGUAUAUUACAUGUGAAUGACUUUGCUGGCCUUGUUAAUGCUAUUUCUCUGCAUCUUGGGUUUAACAAUAUAGCAGAUAUUGAGCCUGGGGCUUUCAAUGGUCUCAGCCUUCUUAAGCAACUUCAUAUCAAUCACAAUUCUUUGGAAACACUUAAAGAAGAUACGUUUAAUGGAUUGGAAAAUUUGGAGUUUCUUCAAGCAGACAACAAUUUCAUCACAGUGAUUGAAGCAAGUGCCUUUAGCAAGCUCAACAGGCUUAAAGUGCUUAUUUUGAAUGAUAAUGCCAUCGAGUAUCUUCCUCCAAACAUAUUUCGUUUUGUGCCAUUGACCCAUUUAGAUCUGCGUGGAAACCAGUUACAGACACUGCCCUAUGUUGGCUUUUUGGAACACAUUGGAAGAAUACUAGAUCUUCAGUUGGAAGACAAUAAAUGGGCCUGUAACUGUGAUUUGUUGCAGCUGAAGAUAUGGCUAGAAAAUAUGCCUCCUCAGUCCAUAAUAGGUGAUGUUGUAUGCAAUAGUCCUUCAGUUAUCAAAGGCAGCAUAUUAAGCCGGCUGAAAAAAGAAUCACUUUGUCCCACCCAUCCUGUUAAUGAACUUGAAGAUCCUUCAGGAUCACUGCCCUUGGUUGUAACCACCUCUGUCAAUGAUAAUCAUCUAUCAACUAAGGUGAUUCCUCUCCUGAAAGCUCCUACUAAAGAACCAAGUUUAGUGCUUCAUACUUCCAAGCCUACUACGUUUCCAGGAAUCUCCUGUCCUGUCCCUUGUCACUGCACCAGCCAUAUGCUCUCAGGAGUUCUUAUGCACUGCCAGGAGCGAAAUAUUGAAAGCUUGUCUGAUUUGGGACCCCCUCCUCCAAAUCCUAAAAAGCUUAUCCUAGCUGGAAACAUUAUUCAGACGCUAUUGAAAUCAGAUCUUGUGGACUAUUCCAGCCUGGAAAUGCUUCACCUGGGGAACAAUCGCAUUGAGAUCCUUGAGGAAGGUUCCUUUAUGAAUCUGACUAGACUACAGAAACUAUAUCUCAAUGGCAAUCAUCUUACAAAGCUAAGUCAAAAUCUCUUCCUUGGCCUUCAUCACCUUGAGUACUUGUACCUUGAAUAUAAUGCCAUCAAAGAAGUUUUGCCAGGGACAUUUAAUGUAAUGCCAAAACUGAAAGUUCUCUAUCUAAAUAACAAUCUUCUGCAGGCUUUGCCACCCCAUAUCUUUUCAGGUGUUCCCCUCACCAGACUAAAUCUGAAAACAAACCAAUUUGCUCAUUUGCCUGUGAGCAAUGUCUUGGACGAACUGGAUAUGCUAGUACAAAUUGAACUUGAAGACAACCCUUGGGACUGUACUUGUGAUUCAGUUGGACUGCAAAAAUGGAUACAAAAAUUGAGUAAGAAUACCAUGAUGGGUGAUAUUUUUUGUAAAUCUCCCGGGCACUUAGCAAAAAAAGAAUUGAAAUCCCUAAACAGUGAAGUCUUGUGUCCAGGUUUAAUAAACAGCCCUGCCCUACCAACCCAUGCCAGUUUUGUAGUUGUGACAACUUCUUCUCCUACUGCCAACACCGCAGACACCAUCCUGCGGUCCCUUACAGAUGCUGUCCCACUUUCUGUUCUAAUAUUAGGACUGCUCAUUGUGUUUAUAACUAUUGUAUUUUGUGCAGCAGGAAUAGUUGUUCUUGUUCUGCACCGUCGCCGGAGAUGCAAAAAGAAACAAGUGGAUGAACAAGUGAGGGACAGCAGCCCUGUUCACCUUCAGUACAGCAUGUAUGGGCAUAAGACCACACACCACACCAUGGAGCGCCCAGCUGCGACUCUCUAUGAGCAACGAAUAGUUACCCCCAUGGUUCAGGUGUACCACAGCCCGUCCUUCAGCCCCAAGCACACCGAGCAGCAACAGGAGGAGGGAAAUGAGAAAGAAGCUAAUGAUUCCAAAUAUCUUCGCCGAAGUCUCCUGGAAAGAGAGAACAGUUCACCACUUACAGGUCCAAAUGUCAAAUACAAGGCUACAGAUCAAUCUGCUGAAUUUCUGUCUUUUCAGGAUGCUAGCUGCUUGUAUAGAAACAUCCUUGAAAAAGAGAGAGAGCUGCAGCAACUAGGGAUCACAGAAUACCUAAGAAAAAAUAUUGUCCAACUCCAGCCUGACAUGGAAGUUCGUUAUCCUGGAACACAUGAAGAGUUGAAGCUAAUGGAGACACUCAUGUACUCCAGGCCAAGAAAGGUUUUUCUAGAACAAACUAAAAAUGAGUAUUUUGAGCUCAAGGCUAAUUUACAUGCUGAGCCUGACUAUCUGGAAGUCCUGGAGCAGCAAACGUGAAGUGAUAAUACAUUGGGCUGGGGCCGAAUUUCUGUGAUUUUACUUUAAGGUGGAAUCAUUGUAUAUAAAAGUGCCUUAUAAAAACAUGUCAACAGUCAGAACUUAAGCACAGCAGUAAUCCUAGCAAAGAAAAACUCAGGGAUCACUGUGGGAAGCCAUGGGGUUGUGAGCAGGCAGUAUGUCACGCCCCAAGUUAAGCAAGAAUUUAGUGUGAUUGAACUGUGGGAGGAAGAUUGCUUAUUGCACUAUUCCUCAUCAUUUUGAAAAGGUCACUUUUUAAAGAAGGCAGCAACUUCUGCAUGCACAAGUUUAAAACUACUUGGGAAUUAAACACAAUGGUUCUCACUCUUGCCAUGUGGGCAGAAGCAUCUUACCCUGAGUUCAGUAUGGUCAUUCAGUUUCUGUGCAUGACUGACGUGGUGCCAAAACACAGUUUCUGACCUGCAUCUAUUUUCCUCCAAGCAAAUCUUUUGUAAACUGACUAUGCAUGGGUUUUGUUGUUUGUUUGUUUUUUUAAUUCCUAUUUGUAAAGUGAAAAAUCAGCCUAAGUACUACAUGUAUAGAUAAGUAUGCUAAAUUUAGCAUUGAAAUCUUGAUAAACUCAAAGUAAAAAGAUAUAUAUUCUUUAGUUCAAAAUACUGUCCAUGUCUUACCUAUUUGUAUAUACAAAUUAGAGUUCUUCAUAUUCUUCUACAUAAGUUUCUGACAGAAAAAUUUCCUAUAUUAUACAUGAAAGUCAGAUUCUCAGUUCUUUCAAAUUUGCAUAAACAUAACAACUUCUAUGGUGCUAUACUAAUUUCUGUAGUUUGAGGAUCUGACCAUCUUUUUUCUCUGUUAACAAAUCAACUUUCUUAUUAAUAUUUUUGAGGCGUUACCAGUUUGUUAUGGAAGUAAAACUUGGCUUUCAUAAAUCAGAAUUUCAGUUAUUAGGGAAGUAUUAUUUCUUCUUUCUAUAUCUGAGAAUAAUUUAAUCAGAAAACCUGUCUAUUUUGGAAGAUUAUGAAGAGUAAAUGUGGCGACAACAUAUUUAUUUUGUUGCUAUCUUUAUUGCAGUUUAUGAAAGAUGAUAUUGAUUUUUGCUUGUGCAGGUAGGGAUGAGAAAAAAGGGGAAAUAUACAUGCAAUAACUUUGCAUUAAAUGAGUUAUAUGAUGUUAUUUUAGAUGUACUUGCAUAUUCAAGCACAUGCAAAUGUGCUUCAUGAGCAUGGAAACCCAUGCCUGGAACUGGAGGAGAAACUGGGGAACAUACUGGAUGGCUUAGAGCAUCAAAAUGACACUAGGUGUCUCCAGUUAAAGAAUUUAGUUUCACACAGGAAAAAAAAUCAAAUAAAUUUAUUAUAUAGAAUAACUAAAUGCACUUAAAAGCUGAAUUUAUUUAAUGGAAAUAGAAAGCUUUGAAUGCUGAAUCAGACCCAUUAAAUUGUUCUUUUUCAAAUUCUCAAAGAUCUCAUAUUAGUGUAAAGGAAAAAAUCAGAAUACAAAUGUAAAUGCUACUUGAUAACAGAGUUUAUUAUUUCAGUGUUGUUGAUUUCAGUAGUUAUUUCCAAAAAAAAAAAAGUGUGUAAAAAUAACACCCUGCAAUUGGCAAGAUGAGGGGAAAUGGUGAUUCAAGCCCUCCAGCUUAGAUUUAAGAGAAACAGCUUCAGACUAAAGACAAUUGCCACAUGCACAGAUGUCACUUUGCUUAGCUGCUAACAGUUACUUGGCAGAAUGUUGAGGACAACAGUGUGGCAAACAUUCUUUUCCCUUGCAGUCUCAAAGCAUCAGAAGGAAAAGUGAGCUAAAUUAGUGUCAAAGCAAGUCAGUUACACAGCUGUAUCGGAGCCUCGCUGAGCAGGAUUAAAGAGACCUUUACCAUUUAGCUUUCCUUCAGAAGGAGGAGUCAUGCCUUUCACUUUAUAAGGACAGCUGUGCUCUGUGGCAGUCUGUAUAACAGUGCAAGUGGUUUGGCAGUAUCCAGGAAUCUCCAGGAUGUGGCUCGCUGUCCACUUUCCUAUAAUCAUGUUGCCUACUGGGCUGCCAUGUAGUGAGCUUUUAUAAUGAGAAGAGAGGGGUCUGCCUUACAUUCAGAUAGUGAUUUGUCCAACUAUGAGGAAAAUUUACACUGCCAUAACAAAAAAGGACAAAGGUUUGAACUUAUAUGAUUAUUCUUCAGAUAAAGAAAAUCAUUGUCUGCUUAUAAAUAUAAAAUCAUGACAAAAGAAAGGCAUCACAUAAGAAAGAAGGAUGUGAUAUCCAUUUCUAGAAGUUCCUUGGAAUAUUCUAAGAACUGGAAAUGUGUCAUUAAUGUUAUUGAUGUUUGCAGAAAGCUGGGAAGCAUAUUCAUAAAUUUUCUUGUUAAAACCCUAUUGUAAUUUUUUUUUUUUCAGUGACAGGCGCAGUUAAGUGGUUUGAUACAUUUUUACUUAGCUAGAAUAAUGGAGGUUGGAAGGCAAAGCAUGUUUGACAGUGUGCAACAAAGUGGAUCCAUUUUUUUCCUGUCAGCAUGAGAGUUUAAUUGAGUGCGAGAACAGUGCUUCGUCAAGCACACUGGUGUAAGUGGCAGCUAUGAUGUUGUUGCUAGGGUACCUCAAGGUAACCAACACUAGCAUUUUUCACCUCACAUUUGAUUGAAGAAAAUAAGUAACACCACAGACCUGUUCCCUAAAUAAACAUAUUGAAACAAUUAAUUACACUGUUUUUGUUUUAAACUGUUCUUAUCUUUUCAACUUCAUAGAAGACAAUUGUAUUUUUAUCUCCUUUUCUUUCUGCUACAGGUAAUUUUCCCACAAACUUAUAGCACUGGUACUUGAUUAUAUUGCCUGCAGUGAUGCCUCUCCAAGCUUUUUAAAGGAAAUAAAACCCAACCCCACACUUAAAAAACCCCAUCCAACAAAGACUAUAAGUGUACACAUCAAUUAGGACAUUUGCCUAUUCAGAAAUGGCCUAAUAUUUUUACACAUUAUUUUCCAUUUGAAUGACAGAUCAACCUUUCCAUCAUCUAUUCCAGACUGAAAAUUAGUUUGUACUUAUUCUCAGUGAUGUGUCAAACCUAUCAGAUUUGAAUAUAAUCCUUUUUAACUUGCAGACAUUGUUUCUCUGAUUGGAAUCUGAGGAUCAGUUUUCAGCCCCUCUUUACAUGACAAAAAUAUUCCCUGUGUGACUCCAAAUGGAAGAUGUUUGCCAUGUACCACUUACUUACCUACAAAGAGAUUAUUAAUUGUAUAGUGUGCUAAACUGAUGAAAUAAGUUUGACAAGGAUGGGAAAGCAUACCACCUUAGAAAGAUCCAUUUCAUGUGUUUUAAUAAAAAAUAAUAGUUGUCACAAAUAAGACAUUAUUUCACAAGAUAAAGUAAUAGUGGCAAGAGGAAAAAAUGGAGACUGAAUCUCAAAGUCAUCACCAGAAGGAAUUCUGGAUUAUCAUUCUGAGGAUGUCAAUGUCUACACCAAUACAGUUUAUCAGUCACACCAAAACAAUCUGCAAGUUUCAUGUAGAUCUACUGAAAUCAUCCUGAGAUUGAAGACCAAUCAAACAAUUCAAAAGAUCAGAAACUAAGACUGGCACAUUUGUGUUCUGUUAUACUUCCUAACACAGAAUAUCUGUAUUUCCAUUAAUGAAUUUCAUGCUCAGCCGUAGACUGCCCUCUGGCAUUACAAUCUGUUGCAAUUGAAAUCUACUCCUUGGAGAGUUUUUUCAUUGUAUACAUUGUCUUCAGUGGUGAGUUCCUCUGGGACCUGAUGAUUGGUGCACCAUUGGAGAUUUGAGACAGGGAAGAUAAUCUUGUGUCAUAAGUUAAAAACUGUCUUUCUUUUUCAGUUUUCCAAAGUUUGUGAUAUUCUUGAUGUUGUUUGAGGAGCCAAAUCCUUUUGUUCCUUAAAACAGAACUGUAGCUGGAAUCAAUAUAUUUUCCAUAAUGAAAAGAUAAAGCAUCGUGUUUUCUUUCCUGCACAACUCCUAACAGUCAGCCUUGGCUUUUUGACACAACAGAACAAAUUCUAAAAAGCCACAGUCUAAUGGAAAGCAGCUAACCUCGAGGAAGAACAUAAAAGGCCAGAUGCUGUUCAGCUCCAUGAAAGCAAAAUGCGAUGAAGAAUUUUUAUUUUAUUUAUUCAGCUUCACAAGAUGCAAGAGUGCAAGUACAUGCACACAAUACAUUUCAUAAAACAUUUACCAAAGUUUCAUGUUCUAAGACAUUAACUUCAAAACAUUCACAGUGUUUGAGUAUUACUACUGGAAGGACUACUUCUACUUGAUUUUUACUUAGAGCUUAUGAAAUAGAAUGUUGGAAUACAGAAAAGAAGAAACAAUAUGGUUUCAUAUUUCAAGGAGAAAUGUUAUUUAUUGUAAUUUCAACUGUUUGUUUUUGUUAAAAAAUUCAUCCAGACAAUUUCAUUUUCAGAUUUUUUUUUACAAGUUUAAAAUUUUAAAAAUUAUUCUAGUUUUAAUUAUUUACCAAAUAAACUACAGAAGAGUAAAUAAUUAGUUUUUCAAAUAGAAAGAAAUCUGAAACCUUUUAUAUAUGAAGAAAAACUAUAGCAUGUCAGCAUAAACUUGCUUUUUAACAGAAACUAUUAAAUUUUUUUUGUCAGCUCAUAAAAAUUAGCAUUAUUUUUAGUUUUAAAUUAAGACAACUCAGCAUCUUUCCAUUUUUCAAAAUUCAAAGCCAACCUAACACUUCCAUAAUGACACGUAUUUGGGUUGAAUGCAUAUUAAACAGUUCCAUUCUAAGACAUGUUAACUAAAAAAAAAAAAAGCUUUCAAAUAUAAUCUGCUACUUUCCCUUAUUUUCCCUACUUAAAUGGUGUAGUGUACUGUGCAAUUAAAAAAAAAAAAAAAAAAAAAAAAAAAAAAAAAAAAAGAAAAAGAAAAAAAAAAGAAAAAAAAAGAAAAAAAAUGGCACAUUCCUGGGCAAAGAGACCAAACUAGACAAUUUUUUUUUUUGUAUCUUUGUUGUAUAUGCUUUUUGGAGAGUAGAAUAUAAUGGAAUCCGUCCCUGCAGCACAUCAUGUUUACACAAUUCAUACAGCAUGCAAAAAAGAAGGAUUUGGCCUAACUAGUAGUCUAUGCAAGCAUACUCUUUUGUAAGUGGAAAGCUGUUGUCAUUGCAAUUUUAAGAUCUUGUGUGUCGAAUAUCCUUUAGAUAUACCUGUUAGAUCAGAUCUCAUAGAUAUCAGAUAUUUAUGAAACUUGAUACUAGAAGUUUUAAGCUUGAUACAAACAAGAUUUCCAGGCUAAGAAUUCCAGGAUAGUUUAUUGGAAUCCAGACACCCUGGAAUGUUGGGUACUUGGAGGACUGUGAAAAACAUCCAUAAUUUCUUACAGAGGAAAGGUUCUUGAGCAACAGUUCAAGACUUAGAUUGCUUUUCUCAUCUUGCUCAACUUGAGGUGCUCAAUGUUGCACAAUGUUGCAUCACAUUACUAAGGAUGAACAUAAAACAUCGGAACUAAAUCGGAAAUGUAGCAUUUAGAUGAAAUUUUUCACAAAAGGUAAAUGCUUCCAUCAUAUAAUAAUGAAAUUAAAUUAAUAUUUGGAGAUUUUAAUUGCCUCAUGUGUUACACAAGUGUCUUUAAGUAAUAUAUCACUUCAGGAGAGAUAGGGGGCAGGUGGCAUUCCUGAUCACUCACACGUUCAGAUUUCCUGAAGGGAAAUGUUGUGCAGUAGAUAGCUAUUUUCAUGUUGCCAUACAUGAUAGUAUGAAGGCUGAACCGUAUUUUAUAAAUUUUAUAAAUUCUAAAGUAAUUGUUUAUUAUAGGCUCUAAGGACUAAAAUGUCAUUUGAAGUUGGACUUCUUGCAGUCUCAGUUUUCAUGAUUAUUUUUAUUCUAAAAAUGACUGCAGAAUAUACAGAAGCUUUGUUAUCCUCCAUAUAAAAGCAAUUAUGUAAAGAAAAAAAUCUCCUCUGAAUUUUUGAUUAAUGCCCUGAUCCAAGGGCCAUUCAAGCUAAGGAAUUAUUUUUUUCAGAUACAGAGUAAUGCAGAAGCAUCUUAGAAGUCUAUGGUUUUGUCUGCGCAGAUACAUGUAGAAAAAAAAGUACUUACUAAAGCAUUGGGGUGUUGUUGCACCCUAUUGUUUUCCAAACAGCAUAAGUUGGAACUAGACAAGACCAGAGCCUUUUUUUAACUAUAAGACCUGACCAUAUGCUAAAAAAUACCUCACAAAAUUUAUUCUGAAUACUCCCAUGACAUGGUCUCCUGAUAAAUGUGUCUGUUUCUUCCCCUCUUUUUUUUUUUCCAACGCCUAAGUAUGCUAAGAAGAUCACAGUGUGGGUUAUAAAGGUAAAUGUGAAUAGUAAACACAUAAAAUGCAAUGGAAUAAUAAGAAACCCUUCUUCACUACUGCAGCACUGAGAUACUAAAGUACCCACAGAACCUCACACCCUUGAAGCAGGAGGCUCGUCUAGACAGCCUCCAAGGGUCCCUUCUAGGGACAAUAUCUGUGGUUCUAAUAUGAUUCAGCAAAAGAUUUUUCAGGGGAAAAUAGUCUACAGACUUUCUUUUCUAUACACAGGCUUCCUGAAUAUGAAGUUAAGGAAAAAGGCAACAUUCACCAAACACUGUCAUGAAAUAAAAGCUUUUCACAUAACUCUUGUAAGAUGCAGAGAUGCAGUCAUUUGGAUACUGCAUCAAAUAAACAGUACUUCUUUGAUAGUAGUAUAUUGGUGGUGGUGAACUGUGGCUACCUAAGUUUAUUAUUAAAACCACUUUAUUCUAGAAUAGAUUACUUCAGAGUUCUAAAUAAAAUAUGGAAGCUAUCUGAAACACUUGAAGAGUGAUCCCUUUCUGUACUGGUAGAAUUAUUGAUCCUUGUUUUCUUGACAUACUGCUGGUGUAAUUCUUCACUCAUUUUAAAGGUAACAAUCUUAUUUUUUCAAAAGUUCUUCCAGCUUUUAAAAGUAUUCAAUAUAUUCAAUAUAUUCAAUAUAUUCAUAUAUUCAAUAUAUUCUAUAUUGUUUGUCAAAGGGACAAAUUAUUAAGCAGUAUGUGAGUAAUAUAUGUUUUAAAUUAAAAAUUAUUUUACAUAAAAAUUCUACUUUAAAUAUUUCAAAUUAUGAAGCAGUGCUUGGAACAAGAUUCUUUGGUCUGAGUGCAAUACUUCAUGCUACUUAGUAUAGUAAUCAGCUUUUUUAAGAUCCUCUUAUGAUAUGUUAUCUGUUACCUGAAACCCAGUACUUCCAUACAGAUUUAGGGCAAAUAUUUAUGCAAUCAUAUUUCCAUGUGUCUUAUAGUCUUUAGGUAUUUAAGUUACCUAUUUUUGAAGACUGGAUACUAAAUGGAUCUUUGAUUUGUCCUAGGAUGGCUGUUAGUAAGUUCAUUAUAUGUACUUUUACACAUAUAACAUACUUGUAUAUCUUUGUGGAAACCAAAUUUCUCAGACCUUACUAGACCUGCACCUGGAAAGGGUUUCCUAACUUUGCUAAUAGAAUCUUUUUUAAUAAAAAAUGCCUGUAAUUUUUAUGCUUCUGAUAGAUCUGUUGUAUGUUAAUCUUGUAAAUUAAACCUCUGAAAGGUAGUACAAACACAGAUGUGUUCUUACCAGACCAAUUAUUUAGCCACUCGUGGAGGAAGCAAAGGAUUGAAAUAAUUAUAGAUAGUCAUCCAAAAUAUUAAAUAGAAAAAAUUGUAGCUUCAGAUUAAAUAUGAACAUAAGAGUUCAAAAGUUUUUUAGAAAUAGACAAAAAUUACUUAGUAUUCCUACAAUUUAAAAGCAGAAGAUUAGAUACCAAUCAUGUAAAUCUUUGACAAUGAACAUCAAUUCAUUAUCAAGAUGCUUUUUCAUACAACCAAUGCCCAAAACAGCUAUGGAAUUUCACUGAUUUAAUACACAGCUGUAUUCUCUUGGUACUGCAGUGAAUCCUCAGUCUCACUUCUGAAAGGUAGAUCCUAGAGAGGACUGAAAACUAUUGUGUUUUAAUUAAAGGAAAAAAAAAAAAAAGAACCCUGUAAAAAACCCCACAACAAAAGAACAAAAAUAUCCUUAAUUUAAAAAAGGGUAAAGGAAAAUCAUUAAAAUAUUUCAAGUAUGUAUCCAUUGUUUACUGCAUAACCUACCACACAUUUUUCUUUAUCAUCCAUCUCCUUUACUUCUUUAUUUUCUUUCUUUUUUUUUUUUUUACCUUUCUUUUUUCAUGUAUGUAGAAUUUUGUAGCCUGGAAAAACUUAAGUUGUGGGGUUUUAGGUAGCAGCUGUCUAAGUGUUUGUUGUUCACCAGUGGCCAAUGAUCUCUAUAGUGAGCUUUGAAAACAACACAGAUCCUUAAGGUCCUAAUAAACUUACUAGUGUUUAACUCAUUAUUUUUGUUCCUUUCUCUUUUGGUGUAAAAAGAUCACAAUACAAACAUGCAAAUAAAUGUUUAUAUGAGGAGAGAAAGAAAAAGAAUUGCAUCUCAUGUUGACUUGGAAUUUUCCAUCAAAGUACAGCUUGAUGG